rfam:Gossypium raimondii Chr09_contig_1566, whole genome shotgun sequence.
AAUCCAUGCAUUGGACAUUUCUGAAUUAACUCUUUCAAUCAUUCCCAAGCUUCAUAUAGUGUUACAUCCUCUAAUUGCCGAAAGGAUGUGAUGUCAUUUCUAAGCCU